AUUGAACGCUGGCGGCAGGCCUAACACAUGCAAGUAGAGCGGAGCAGCGGAAGGGAACGUAAUGCCUAGGAAUCUGCCAGGUAGUGGGGGAUAACGUCCGGAAGCGGGCGCUUAUAUCGCAUACUAUCAGUUGAGUCUAGGUGGGAUUAUCUAGUUGGGGGGGUAAAGGCCUACCAAGGCGACGAUCCGUAACUGGUCUGAGAGGAUGUAUAGUCAAACUGGGACUCAGCCACGGUCCAGACUCCGACGGGAGGCAGCAGUGUCGGAUAUUGGUCAAGGGGCGAAAGCCUGAUCCAGCCAUGCCGCGUGUGGGAAGAAGGUCUUCGGAUUGUAGAGCAAGGUAAUUUGUGAGGCGUUACCAACAGAAUAAGCACCGGCUAACUUCGUGACAGCCGCCGCGGUAAUUC
rnacentral:rRNA from 1 species